rnacentral:rRNA from 1 species
GGGGUACCUCACCAGGUCCAGACAGAGUAAGGAUUGACAGAUUGAUAGCUCUUUCUUGAUUCUUUGGGUGGUGGUGCAUGGCCGUUCUUAGUUGGUGGAGUGAUUUGUCUGGUUAAUUCCGUUAACGAACGAGACCUUAACCUGCUAUUUAGUCUGCUCGGUACCUUGUCCGCGCGCGCUUCAUAGAGGGACUCCGCGGCGUCAAGCUGCGGUGAGGUUUAAGGCAAUAACAGGUCUGUGAUGCCCUUAGAUGUCCUGGGCUGCACGCGCGCUACACUGAUGCUUGCCUCGUGUUUACCCUCGCCCGAUAGGCCUGGGUAACCCCUAGUGUGCAUCGUGUUGGGGAUUGAUCUUUGCAAUUCUAGAUCAUGAACGAGGAAUGCCUAGUAUGCGCAAGUCAUCAGCUUGUGCAGAUUACGUCCCUGCCCUUUGUACACACCCCCCGUCCCUCCUACCGAUCGAGUGAUCCCGUGAAUUA